rnacentral:rRNA from 1 species
AGUGAACGCUGGCGGUAGGCCUAACACAUGCAAGUCGAACGGCAGCACCGUAAGAGCUUGCUCUUACGGGUGGCGAGUGGCGGACGGGUGAGGAAUACAUCGGAAUCUACUUUUUCGUGGGGGAUAACGUAGGGAAACUUACGCUAAUACCGCAUACGACCUACGGGUGAAAGCAGGGGAUCUUCGGACCUUGCGCGAUUGAAUGAGCCGAUGUCGGAUUAGCUAGUUGGCGGGGUAAAGGCCCACCAAGGCGACGCUCCGUAGCUGGUCUGAGAGGAUGAGCGGCACGACGGGAAAUGAGACACGGUCGAGACUACUAAGGGAGGCAGAAGUAGGGAAUUGUGAGGGAUGGGCGCAAGCCGGACGGAGCAGAGCCGAGUGAGUGAUGAAGGUCUUCGGAUAGUAGAACUCUAUUAUGAGGAAAGAAAAUAUGGGUACGUAACUGUGCCGAUCUUGAAGGUACCUAAUCAGAAGGACAGGGCUAACUACGUG